UCUCCCAAGUUGUUGCAAAAUGGACUAUCAUCUGGCAGACGGGUCCUGAGGUCAGGAUUGAACGUGGGUGUUGACCACUGUGAGGAAGCAGUUUUGUCAUCUGCACCUGCAGGCCUCUAAUAGAUUGAAUGGAGAUCAUGAGAGGACAAUUGGAUGCCCUUGUCCACUUGUCUCCCUUCUGUAAUGCACUGUCUACAAGUUUCAGCAGCUGACAAAGCAGUUCCCAGCAGGCCUUCAGAAAACCUGUCUCAGAAGGGCCUCCCAUUUUCAUGAAACCAAAGGUGUAGCCACGGGCACUCGCAUGGACCACAGCUAUUCCUGCUUUUUCUGCAGCUGAGUGGAAAAGUCCAUGUUCCAAGCCUACACAGAUGGUUGAAUGACAAUUAAACUUGGAACUACAGAACUGGAUCCCAAGGAACUGUCUGAGAAAGGGAAAAAAUGAACACUUCCCAGCACUUCCAACAAAACUGUGAACAUGAUCUUCCUAAAUUUAACUCACAUAAUAUUGAAGGAGUACAGCAGGUCAAGCAGCAUCUAUGGAAAGGAAUGAAGAGUUGAUAUUUCAGGCCAAGAUCCUUAAUCAAGACUGUCAACUUUUUAAAUGUUUUUCACAAACAGGCUAUGACAGCAUACAACAAUCAGAAAAAUCCUGACUGUACAGUAGCUUUCUGCUAUAGAUGCAAACAGAAAUCUGGGUUAAAAUUUCUCCAUUCAAAAAUCAAAAACUGCAGAUGCUGGAAAUCUAAAACAGGAAAAAAAACACACAGAAAAUGCUGAAAUCAGUCACAAGCCAUGAAGAUUUAAUCCUUCAGGUUGUUGGCAUUGCCUCCUCUCAGUCUCAUUGUCUUUUUUUUUGUGUGUAAGCCCAAUGUACAACAGAGUUAGGCAACUUCCUACUGAGGCAGGACCAAAGUUGUGAAUUUGUCCCACAGGAGAGAUUUGAGCGCAGGAGUUGUAGACUGUGAGAUGUCAAACCAAAGGCCUCCCUUCUUGCUCAGAUCACUUUAAACAGGAAUGGAAAUGUUAUUCCCACUGUCUUGAUCAAUAUUUUUGCUUCAUUUAACAACAUGAGAAAUAGAUGACCUAAUUGUUAUCCUGUUGCUGUAUUAGAACUUUCCUGUCACUAUUCAUUCAUUACAAUUGUGAAAUGCACUUUGAGGUAUUUUGAGAUCACAAAGCACAAUGCAAAUCACACCUUUAAUUCUUCAUGGUCUUAUGUCCAUAAACUUACUUUUUUGAUAUGUAGCAUAAACUCUAAUUAGAUUGGAAGUCCCAUUACACAUAAGAAUAGCCAUGUGUUCCAAAAGGGAUCUCAGGUUCCAUUCUAUCUGAUAAUUUAAUGUGCUUGAUUCAGUUGUUGGAUGUCAAAAUGUAAGUAGAAUGAUCUUUUAAUGGUAUGGGCACAAAUAUUAACUAAGCAAGCUUAAGUAAUUUAUUACUUGGUGUCUUACUAUUACUGUAUAAUCUAAGAUCAAUUAUUUCUAUUCAAGAUAAACAUUGUAAGCUGUAAUUGUUUUUAUACCAAAUUAUUUUAUAACAUUUAUUUGUGGAAAUGAACACACAAGAUUAUACAAAUACACACACCACUGUGCAGCUGGGUGUUCCGCUUCCUAACAAAGGGACUUCAGGAUGCACAACUUCACCAACCUCAACAUGGGUAUCCCGCAGGGUAAUCACAUUGUCAAGUUCACUGAUGAUGCAACAGUGGUGGGGCUCAUCACCAACAACAAUGAGACAACAUACAGAGAGGAGGUGGAAGAGCUCAAGGCUUGAUGUUAGACAAAUAACCUCUUCCUUAAUAUUAACAAGGUAAAGGAGAUGGUUAUCGAAUUCAAGAGAACUCACACCACUCACACCCCCUUUACAUCAGCGGCACCCCAGUGGAAACUGCAAACAGUUUCAAAUCCCUGGGAGUGCACAUGUCACACAGCCUCUCGUGGUCCUAAAACGCAUCCUACACUAUCAAGAAGGCUCACAAAGACCCCUAAUUUCAGUGGAGGCGGAAAAGAGCCGGGCUUUGUGUGUCAUUCUACAAAUGCAUUGUAGGGAACAUCCUGACAAGCUGCAUCACUGCUUGGUAUGGAAACUGCACUGCAGUGGACAGGAAGACUCAACAAUGGGAAGUGAACAAUACAUCAUCGGCACCAGCCUACCUGCCAUGAAGGAUAUAUACACAGAAAGGUGCCAGAAAAGGGCCAGUAACAUCAUGAAGGAUCCCACCCACCCUCCUCAUUUGUCCCAUUCCCAUCAGGGAGGAGACGAUGUAGCAUCCAUACCAGGACCACCAGACUCAAAAACAAUUGCUUUUCCCAAGCAGUAAGGCUGAUCAACACCUCCACCACUACUUCAUUAUUUCCUGUCAGUCACCUAUUUUACAGCCAAGCAUCA